CAGGAUGAACGCUAGCGGCAGGCUUAACACAUGCAAGUCGAGGGGCAGCGCGAGUAGCAAUACUUGGCGGCGACCGGCGCAAGGGUGCGUAACGCGUGAGCAACAUGCCCGUAUCAGGGGGAUAAUCCAGGGAAACUUGGUCUAAUACCCAUAGUAAUUUUGUAAGGCAUCUUAUAAGAUUUAAAGCUUUGGUGGAUACGGAUUGGCUCGCGUGACAUUAGCUGGAUGGUAAGGUAACGGCUUACCAUGGCUAUGAUGUCUAGGGGUUCUGAGAGGAAGGUCCCCCCACACUGGAACUGAGACACGGUCCAGACUCCUACGGGAGGCAGCAGUGAGGAAUAUUGGACAAUGGAUGGAAAUCUGAUCCAGCCAUGCCGCGUGAAGGAAGAAAGGUCCUAUGGAUUGUAAACUUCUUUUGUAUGGGAGCAAUAAGGCCUACGAGUAGGUUGAUGAGAGUACCAUACGAAUAAGCACCGGCUAACUCCGUGCCAGCAGCUGC
rnacentral:rRNA from 1 species